GGCCGCCUGGCGAAAUGGCAUCGCGUCUGACUACGACAUGUUCAAGCAUGUGCGCCAUCAGGAGAUUGCAGGUUCGACCCCUGCGGUGGUCA